GUAGGGAAUAUUGGACAAUGGGCGAAAGCCUGAUCCAGCCAUGCCGCGUGAUAGAUGAAGGCCCUCUGGAUUGUAAAUAUCUUUUAUCUGGGAAGAAACUCCUCUAUUCUUAGAGGCCUGACGGUACCAGAGGAAUAAGCACCGGCUAACUCCGUGCCAGCAGCCGCGGUAAUACGGAGGGUGCAAGCGUUAUCCGGAUUCACUGGGUUUAAAGGGUGCGUAGGCGGGUUGAUAAGUCAGUGGUGAAAGCUCCGGGCUUAACUUGGAAACUGCCAUUGAUACUGUCAGUCUUGAAUGUCGUAGAGGUAAGCGGAAUGUUGCAUGUAGCGGUGAAAUGCUUAGAUAUGUUACAGAACACCAAUUGCGAAGGCAGCUUACUAUGCGAUAAUUGACGCUGAGGCACGAAAGCGUGGGGAGCAAACAGGAUUAGAAACCCCUGUAGUCC
rnacentral:rRNA from 1 species